rnacentral:lncRNA from 1 species
GGCAUUUCUUAGUUGAUGGUGUGACUUUACAUUCUUUUAGGAAUACCGAAAAGCAAGGGUUGUCUCUGAACCCUACCCCACCACGAAGGGAGCCCUGGAUGUGUUCAAACCUUCCUGAUUCGGUCCCCUGGGAUCUUGGUCAAUCUGUUCACAUCGGGUCUGACUUUAUCAUGGGAACCUCUUGGGUUUCUUUUCUGGCACCUUAACGGGAGUGAGAUUUGCAAAGCAUCUGCCAGCCCUUGGUGCUGGUGUUCGCCAGGGUGUAGGCUGCACAGAUAGACAAUGGUAGCGAACGAUCCAGCUCCUGUCCCUGAUCUGGACCCCCUCUUGUGGCAACAUUAGACUUGCUGGUGUUCUCUGGAGUGGGUGUGUGUGUGUGUGUGUGAACAGUGACUGUCCCUCCUAACUCUCAGGUAAGUACCACAGGGAGUUGGCAAGGGGACCCUGGGCUGCCGUGUGCAGCUGCCCGGGUGCCUCUAUCUGCAUUCUGCCUGGACGCCCCCUCUUUUCCAUGUUCCCAACACAUGCUGCCUCUCUAGCUGUGUCUGUAUGUUAGACAUGCUUCAGAAACCAGAGGCCCAAAGACACAGGCCCUAUCCUAGGUGGCUCCCACUGGCAGAAACAUGCAGACUGUCAUGGGUCACAGACCCAGGACACUAGGCCAACAGAGGAAGGGAGAGAAUCGGGAAAGAUUUCCUGUGAAAAGUACCACCUAAUGAGGUUUCCCUCUUGGUCACUGGAGAACUCUUUUCCUCCAACACCCCGCUCAAGUAGCACCUUUUCUUUGAAGUGCUCCCCAAUUCACCCAGUGGAAUAAAUGUUCCUCUGUCCAGAACAUGUUUGGCUUUGCACAUAGAAGAGAAAGCACCAACCACCAUAUUGUUUAAGUCAGUUUUUCCACCCCCUCCCAGAUGGCCAGCUCCCUGACGACUGACCUAGAUUCAUUUUGGUAGUGUUAGUGAAGUUUAAUAAACGUCUGUUAAUAGGUCUGUCUGUCUAUGGGUAUGGUAUUAACAGGUAUCUGCUGUGUGCACGAGACCUCAUGUCUGGGCCAAGGGAGGGUCGUCCUCGGGGAAUCAUUCUGUACCAUAUCUGCUGCAUUAUCUCUGCUGUCUCCAAGUGGACAAGAGUGAUCAGGGGCUUCCUAGCAUUUGAGGGUAGAAAGAUUGACAUCGGCUGGUAGGAUUGGUAGACGCCUCCAUCAGUGUCUCCCUUAUGGUGAGGCAGGUGCCAAGGGGCCCUGGAGUCCUGACCAUUGUACAUUCUGGACAGAAACCUAAGGUUGAACGCCAGUGGAGCUCUUCCCCCUGCGGAGAAAGGUCAGUUGCCUGGUUCUCUUGUCCAGGCCAAGCACCAAUCUAAGGUGCUAAGAAGGCUGGGAGAAGGUCUCCCAAGUGCAGAAAUCUCCACCAGCUCCCCAGAAGCACCCAUUGCCUGAGCCUGAUAGUAAAAGUCCUCACUUUUAUAUGGGCCUUUGUUAUUUCCAAGGUGCCUUCCACACGUUGGCCAUUUGAUGGACAUUCAUUGAGCCUUUACUUUGUGUCUGGCUUUGUGCUUUGCUAAGGAUACCACCAGCAGGCCCUGCCCAGGCAUUUCUGUUUGACCCUUGCAAUGGCCCCUUUGUAAAGGUGAAGACAGAGAGACUCAAAAAGUAUAUAUAUCUCAAGGAUGCAUAGCCUUACGUGGUAGAACCAGGAUCUGAAUCCACCUCUCACAGGUGACAGUCCUACACUCCACUCCCCCACCUCCAAGCCUCUUUCCCCUCCCCCAGUAACUCUGGAAAUCUGAAGUAGUGUCAAUGUCCCAACUCAGAGAUGAAGAAUACUGACUCAUAGUGGAUUCAGGAGACCCCAGAGAUUUCAGAGAGGCCAGACAAAAGUGCCAACUCCCACACUGCCCCAAAGGAAAUGCCUACCCCACACUGUCCACAGACGACCACCUGCCUGUCCAUGGAGCGCCUCUCCCGGAUCUCCCCUGUGGCAUUCCUGGUGGUCCAGACACAUGAGCAUCCUUUCUGACGUGCUCUGGGUCCCUGCCCCCCUGGCCGAGCUCUUCUGACUUCUCCAAAAUUCUCAAGCUUCUCAAAGCCAAGGACUCUCCUGUUGUUUCGAGACCUGCUUGGAGGGUACACUGCUCUCCAGAGGAGGAAGCAAAGUUCUAGAAGGCAAAGGUGAGGCUGGGUUUCCACAUCCUUGAACUCUACCCUUUUAGUAUGAGAUGGUCCAGCAAGUCCCAGGGAACUCCCAAGACAGUGGGUCCUUGCCCCUUGUCCACUGGGGGACCCAUCCUGUAGGCUGAUCUCAUAGAGGUCACCGUCGCUUGGGGCUUGGGGGUUUGAAUACUUUAUUAAGAAACUCGACAGAGCAUAGGAGGGAAACACUGGCAAUAAGAAAACGAAGCCUCGGUUUAUCCAGUGUUUUCAUGAGAGGUGUGGGCUUUGUCUCUGAAAUGAUGCCAGCCUUUUUUUUUUUUUUUUGUCACAAUCUUUGACAUGACCAACCUAGCAAAAUCUCUGUUAUGGGAAAGUUUGUCUUCAAGAAAUUGUUCCACCAUUCUCUCUACUCUCCCAUUGUAGCACGUGGACGUGACUCAUGUGCCACACUGAAUAAUCGUACGAUUGGAAGAGAAGAGAGGUGACAUUUAUGGAGCUCAGCUUGGGCCUACCAGCUCCUCCGUGUCCUCUGUACUAGCUCCUGCCACCCCCCCAGCAGCCUUGCCAGACAGGUGUUAUCAUAGCCCCCAACGCCCUGUUGAACAGAUGAAUAAUGUGAGGCUCAGAGAGGUGACGUUAUGGACCAAGUGAGUCCCUGUGGCUAGAAAGCAGCAGGGACAGGCCACCCCAGAGCAGGACUGGUGAAUGACUGUCCACGCGGUCCACAGCGAGAUGAAAGAGUCUCAG